GUCGGUGUCGUCUAGUGGUUACGACGUGAGCUUAACACGCUCAAGAUCGAGGGUUCGAUCCCCUCCUCCGAUA
rfam:Phytophthora infestans T30-4 supercont1.81 genomic scaffold, whole genome shotgun sequence.